ACCAUCCUUGUCUGGGGAGCGAACUGCCCGAGGAUCGUCUAGUGAGGGUACGUUUGCUGAAACUAGACAAUUUGAAAACUCGCAUCCCGUCUUCGGGCGGAGGUGCAAUUUUUAGAACU